AUGAGACGCUCCGGACAUCUCUAACCGCUGUUGUGGUAUCACACAAAGAUUUAGAGACACAGCCUUUUACAACCACUGACUGGCCUCCGGAACUCUCUGAUGAAAAGACAGAAAACACAGGUUGAGUCUAAGUUUUACUGCAGAUUCUCACCUGUUGUUGUAAGGCAGCGGUCUUCACUCCCUGAACAGCUCACGGUGUUUGAGCAGCUCUGUCCAUCACAAUAGUAACAUUUCUUUCCAUUGGGGGUAUUAGUGCUGGGAUCUACAGGAGGAAAACAAGUAUUCUUUUAUUUUAUUGUCCGUACAAAAUAUAAUAUCUAAAGAAACAACACUCUGUUAGCUGCUCCAUUCAAUCAGUUCACAACUGACAAGCUGCACCUUGCAUUUUAUUUCCUGAUUUAAUGUACUGUAAAAAAUCUUACUGAAAUUUAUACUUUUUUAAAGUUGAAUCAACAAAUUAUUACUUAUUAUAAUGUUGAAUGUUAUUUUGCAAUUAUUUUUUUACAGUGUGUCCUCUGGAAGUAGAACGAGUGUUAACUUUAAAGAUAAUCAUUUUCAUAUGGUCAGUAAAUCACUCAAUACCUGGAGCAUCUUGGACGUUACACUGGUCUGUGUUACAGCAGACUGCAGACGUCCACACAAUGCCGAGGUUCAUGGACCCAUUUGCACAGUCAGCAGCACAAUCUUUUAACUUGUUGUUGAUACUGAUGCCAUCUAAAAACAUGAAUGAUUCAGGAAAAAGCAUAUCAACAGUGCACAUUAUGUUGAUGGAAAACUGAUUGAUAUAUAUGUCAACAUUUAUAAUUUUUCUUGUUUCAAACUGUUUUUACAAAUUGUAUCUGGGAGAAAACUAAUGAAAUAUCAGAAAUCUCUAUAGAUUAUAUUGUGCUAGAAUUUGUAAAUUCCUCCAGGAAUAUGAGUAGCAGUUCUGUGACAAGUUACAUUUUAAUCCAUCAUAUUGGACUUACCAACUUGUGACACUGACGUUACACUCAUGCACUUGGAAGUUCCAUUGAGACAUGUUUUUUCCUUUUGAUCCGCACAAGAACCCGUCAGACCCAUACACUCAUAACAGCUGAGAGAGUGUCCUUUA